CCUACGGGAGGCAGCAGUGGGGAAUAUUGGUCAAUGGGCUUACGCCUGAACCAGCCAAGUCGCGUGAGGGAAGACUGCCCUAUGGGUUGUAAACCUCUUUUGUCAGGGAGCAACGCCGGCUACGUGUAGCCGGACUGAGAGUACCUGAAGAAAAAGCAUCGGCUAACUCCGUGCCAGCAGCCGCGGUAAUACGGAGGAUGCGAGCGUUAUCCGGAUUGAUUGGGUUUAAAGGGUGCGUAGGCGGAAUGCCAAGUCAGCGGUAAAAUCGCGGGGCUCAACCUCGCUCCGCCGUUGAAACUGGCGUUCUUGAGUGGGCGAGAAGUAUGCGGAAUGCGUGGUGUAGCGGUGAAAUGCAUAGAGAUCACGCAGAACUCCGAUUGCGAAGGCAGCAUACCGGCGCCCAACUGACGCUGAAGCACGAAAGCGUGGGUAUCGAACAGGAUUAGAUACCCGAGUAGUC
rnacentral:rRNA from 1 species